AUGAAAAGAACUUUGAAAAGAGAGUUAAAGAGUACCUGAAAUUGCUGAAAUGGAAGCAAAGGAAACCAGUGUUAUUUUGCAUCAUUUUUCUCCUGCUGCUUGCAACAGGGGCGCUGUGGUGUAAGGUAGGCCAGCAUGGGUUUGAAUCGGGGCAAAAGCUUUUGCUACCCUGGUUUGGACUGAGGUUAGCUCGUGUGAUGCUGGCAAAAUGGUUUUCUUUACCCCGUCUUGAAACACGGACCAAGGAGUCUAACAUAUGUGCGAGUAUAGGAGUGGCAAACUCCCAUGCGCAAUGAAAGUAACAGUGGUGUUAUCAACAUCCGCCGGCCACAAUCCUUCGGGAGAAAGGUCUGAGUGUGAGCAUACAUGUUGGGACCCGAAAGAUGGUGAACUAUGCCUGAAUAGGGUGAAGCCAGGGGAAACUCUGGUGGAGGCUCGUAUGCGGUUCUGACGUGCAAAUCGAUCGUCAAAUUUGGGUAUAGGGGCGAAAGACUAAUCGAACCAUACUAGUAGCUGGUUCCCUCCGAAAUUUCCCUCAGGAUAGCUGCAAUCAUUAGUAUCUUUAUCA
rnacentral:rRNA from 1 species